rnacentral:rRNA from 1 species
UGCCUACGGGGGGCAGCAGUGAGGAAUAUUGGUCAAUGGGCGAGAGCCUGAACCAGCCAAGUCGCGUGAAGGAAGAAGGUUCUAUGGAUUGUAAACUUCUUUUGUAAGGGAAUAAAAAGAGUUACGUGUAACUUAUUGUAUGUACUUUACGAAUAAGGAUCGGCUAACUCCGUGCCAGCAGCCGCGGUAAUACGGAGGAUCCAAGCGUUAUCCGGAUUUAUUGGGUUUAAAGGGUGCGUAGGCGGAAGAUUAAGUCAGUGGUGAAAGUUUGCAGCUCAACUGUAAAAUUGCCAUUGAAACUGAUUUUCUUGAGUGUAAAUGAGGUAGGCGGAAUGUGUUGUGUAGCGGUGAAAUGCUUAGAUAUAACACAGAACACCAAUUGCGAAGGCAGCUUACUGGGAUACAACUGACGCUGAGGCACGAAAGCGUGGGGAUCAAACAGGAUUAGAUACCCUUGUAGUC